AAACAUGCUUUACAGUUUCACAUUAAGACCUUUUUGACAAUUUUUUUGCAACAUAGCCUGCUAUAGUUAUUGUCACUUCAUGAUUAUUAUAAUCAAGGGAACUUUCCAUAAUUUCUUUACUUCCAUUUUCAAACAGUUCAUUAAGUGUUGUCAAGGAAGGAUGAAUAUCUAGCAAUAGAUUUUUUUCCCAGAAGUUUGUAUGCUCCUUAAUUAAAGAGCGGCAUUACAAAAUUCUUUCUGAAUUUAAAACUUCUCUUAAAAUUACAAGAAUCCUUCCCACACUCAUUUGCCUGCAUUGUGAGAAACCUCUCUCAAUCGGAUCACUUUGUAAACAAGCUGUCAUCAUAUAACCAUUUCCAUCAUUCAAGAGCUCCUCAACAAGCAGUGUUUGAGUACGUAAGGUAUUUACUAAUGCUGAUGCAUUUUAGUUGUAAGGGCGAAUGCAGGUGAAGGAGACCACAAGUUCAAUCAGCCAGAGCUUAAUAAAAUAUUAUUUUAUUGUCUCCUAAUACAACAGCAUUGCCAAUAAGAUUUAGUGAAAUUUUUUGUUUAGAAUUAACAAAUGUCCACCAAGUGUUAAAAAUAGUUAAAAAAUUUGAAACAUCUUUUCGAUUUAGAUAAGAGGUUUUUCAAGUUGCAAUUGUAGUUUCAUGUGUAAUUGCUAAUUAAAGUGUCAUACUUUCUUUAUUAUUUCCAGGAUGUAAUACCUCAUAUGUAAUCUUUGAAGCUUUUCUAAAUUUACUUUUCAGAUCAUUAUCAUUAUGGUAAAUCUUGAAUAAAUCACCCAACUAAUAUAUCCUCAUGGACAAUCAAUAUUGAUAUAUGCAUUAUGAAAUGAAGUUCACAUAAAACAGAAUGUUUUGUUGGAGUCCAAUCUGAACAAUUAACAAAUCGUAUCCAAAGUUGAUUUAAGUUUUGGUCUGUUAGAAAAAUGCAGUUUGUUUGUAUUUGUUGCUUAAGUACCCCGAUGUACAUUUUGGUGCAGCACAUUUGUUGACCAAAGAAAAACGUAAUGACUGACACAAUUGAUACAUAAUGAUUGGUAUUAUCAAUCAUUCACGUGGAACUCACGGACAUUAAAGCCGUAGCAUUAAAGUUAUGAAUCAGAGAAAACAACGAAUAGUUUAUAAUUAUAUAAUUUAUUUAAUGAAGUGGUAUUUAUUGUAAACUAAAUAUUUGCCCCAUGAUUGGAUUUUAUUUUUACUAUU